UCGAAUAGAGCCCUAAUUGAGCUAAACAAUACCCUAACGUUAACCUUGGCUCUGCUCGCUCCUCUAAAUUCUAAAACCCAACUCAUUUUGUUAGCUGCCUCUUUGUUCAACUCCGACGGUUUUCUAAGCGGCGCAGACCUCAAUUCUUCGCCAUGUCUAUCCCAGUUAACCCAAAACCUUUCUUGAACAAUUUGACUGGGAAGCCUAUCAUUGUGAAACUCAAGUGGGGAAUGGAGUACAAAGGUUUUCUAGCCUCAAUGGAUUCAUACAUGGAACUUGCAGCUAGCUAACACUGAAGAAUACAUUGAUGGGCAAUUCACUGGCAAUUUGGGAGAGAUUUUGAUCAGAUGUAACAAUGUCCUCUAUCUUCGUGGGGUACCAGAGGAUGAAGAAAUUGAAGAUGCUGAUCGUGAUUGAGACUAAGAAGUAGGGUUAGUAUUGUACUUUGGAAUCCAAUGUAGAGAGGUAGGUUUUAUAGAUGUUGGAUGUGCAUGCUAACCAUACAUGUAUGCUUUAACCCUCAGCAACUAAAAAGAACCGACACCACUUAAUUAGGAUCCUAGAGUAUCCAUUUCCAUUUGCAGCUUGCCAAGAUUUAACAAGUUCUUCCUCUGACAACAUAAUAUACUGAAAUUUUCCUAUAUUUCUUCUGAAGUUGCAUAACAAA